UCGGCAGCUUCGGUCUAUCUUGACAAAUACCAGCUGCAAAGGGUCACUUGGCCUUCAGGGGAUUUCCUGAAUCAAUGGGAUGCAGCAGCUCUGACAGAGCGAAGCAACACCCCACUGGCCUUGAAGAAAGCAACCAGGAAUGGCUGUUUGGACUGGGGCCCGUUCCUCCCAAUGAUUCCAGCAGAUUUUAUGUUGAUACUUCGUCCUUUAAAAAACAGAAGUCUCCACACAGAGCUGCAGGCCCAAGUUCUGCUGUGGGUUCAUCACCCAGUGGUUACUGGUGGCCGUG